rnacentral:tRNA from 1 species
GGAUCCGUAGUCUCAAUGGGUAGAGCAGCCGCCUUUUAAGCGGAAGUGUGGAGGUUCGAGUCCUCCCGGAUCCA